UGCGAAAGAAAAUGGUAAACAUCUUGAUGAUCUUGGCUUUUCUUCGUUUUCUUCCUCAAACUGUUGACUUGCCGUGUCUGUGGACCAAUGCUCACUAGACAGGAAUAAAGUGUCCACGUACAAUAUCUUUUUAAUGUAGAGACGGAUUGAACUAUUUCAUCUUCAAGUGUGUUAAUAGAAAUAUAUCCAUCAACCUGUCUGAAGUUUUGCCAGAACAACUACAACAUUGGACCACAUGCAUUGGAACCUUCUUACUUCAGGACUACCAGUGGGGAAGUGCUGUAUUUAAUUGUUGCUGUCAACUAUCUUGGUACCAGUCAUGACAACAUUUACCUACCUGCAGCAGAGGCCCUGCUGACUUUAAACAAUCAUAGCUGCCGGAUUGAACUAUUUCAUCUUGAAGUAUGUUAAUAGGAAUAUAUCCAGCAACCUGUCUGAAGUUUUGCCAGAAUAACUACAACAUUGGACAACAAGCUCCGGAACUUUGUUAUUCAAGACACUCCUUGUUGUGCGUUGGCAGAAAUGCAGAGUGGUACCACCAGUCGUCUAUGCCACCUUUCCCCUCAUUUUAGAGGCUAAUGUGGACAGUCCCUGCAGUUUACAGCUAAGCCCUCAGUAUAGCCCUACAAAUUUUAGAUACUGCCAAUGGCGCGUAGAUCCAGUACAUUGGGCCUGAGUUUCCAGUACUGGAUUGACAUCUCCAUGCAGCCGAACUAGAGCCAGGAUUAAUAUCAGACGGACCUCUCUGUGGGUGGAUGGAUUCAGAGAUGACCCCAAAGAUGCGGCCAUGACUGUGUCACAUGGACAUUAUAGAUGAAACCAUCUUGAUUUAGUUUUUUGGUGACAACAGACAAAGUGUGUAUAAUUUGUGGAUAAAUAGUGUUAAAGCUAGAAACUUUUCUACAAAUUCCUACUCAAGUGGUGAACUGGAAUAAUAUUGUAUAUAACAAAGAAGAGAAUCUUGUUGUGGGUCGACUUCAUACACAAUUCUGCAGUCGUCUGCACUGGACCUGUUGGGGCAGUUUGAUUUAUCAGUGGCUCUACUUAAAGCAAGCUUUUGUUUUGGCAAGCUUGAUGUAAUAUUCUUCUUAUUUUCAAACUAAAAAAACCCCGACAUUUGACAAGUUUCAUGACAUAUUUAAGGCAUAUUUUCCGAAAAUUUAAAAGGUAACAACCCUUCAAAUACAUGAUUGAUUUUGAGUGAAAAAUUAAGAAAUUCUACCUCUUUUAAACCCAAAAUAUAUGCUGGCUUGGAGACCGAAAUCCAGAGGUUCUGUUCAAACUUGUAAAUACUUUUAAUAAUUCGGGUAGUGGAUAUAAUUAACUGUAACCUGACUGUUUAUUUCUUAUGUACAAAAUUAAUGGGUUUUUUUUUUCUGAAUAGUAAUGUUUAAACUUUUUAUGCAGCCAAUGGUGUUUUGGGCUUUUGUUAAAGAUGCACUCAAACUCCCAAAUGAGAUUUACCACAAUUAAUAAUGUUAUUUAAAUAUUCCAAAAAGGAUGAAUAAAUGUCAAAAACAAUGGUUCUUAUAAAGGAUACCGAGUUUAAUUUUAAAGAAAGGAGCAUAAAACAUGGUAUUUUUACCUUUUGAGACUAAUAUAUUAGUAGACCACAGUAAAUCUUUUAGCAUUCACCAAUCAUUUAAUAUGUUUUGCGCUUUCGCUAUUAAAUACAUGGUUACAAUCUUGUUAUCAGUAAUUAAUAAUUUUCAUAAAUGCAUUAUUUAGUUUUAGUAGUUACAGGCUUAUCAGUCAAAAUUGAUGUUUGUUGUACAUGUGUAUGUAUUGAUUUUGAAUAAGAGUGUCACUUUAAGCAUCUAAAUUUUCUAUAUAUUUGUAAACAUGUACACUAUUUAUUAAUCUCUGCAUCUUUUAUUUUGAAUCAUAAGGGAUCAAAUGCUGUAAAAAUCACUUAUUAUAUACAUCUUCUUAAUUGACAUAUAUGUAUUAAAAUGUCCUUAUUAUUAUUGCCAUCAUAUGAUUGUAGAAUAAAAGUUGAGACCAGUUUGUGGUAGCCUGUGAGUCAUUCAUGUUGUUGUAUUAUAUCUUUCAUCAUGGUUUUGAGAAAUGGGAACAAAUGCUUUAAAAAUAUGUUUUACUAUACAUGUACUUUGAUAAUGUAAGGCUUUACAAAUGGAGUCUGUUGUGUUCUAUAUUGUGUAUUUUACUUCUAAUUCUCUUUUAUAAUCAAUGCAAAGACUCGUGCAAUAAAUUUCUU